GAUGAAGAACGUAGCGAAAUGCGAUAAGUAAUGCGAAUUGCAGAAUUCCGUGAGUCAUCGAAUCUUUGAACGCACAUUGCGCCCUCUGGUAUUCCGGAGGGCAUGCCUGUCUGAGCGUCAUUGUCAACCCUCAAGCUCAGCUUGCUGUUGGGUCCCCGUCGUUGCUUUAACGGCGGACCCGAAAGGUAAUGGCAGAGUCCGUGAGACCCUAGACGCAGCGAGCUUCUAGCACGCGUCUGGACGUUUUUCGGGCUCGGUCUUAACUAGAUGAUAACUUCCGAUUGACCUCAGAUCAGGUAGGGAUACCCGCUGAACUUAAGCAUAUCAAUAGGCGGAGGA
rnacentral:misc_RNA from 1 species